CCUACGGGUCGCACCAGUAGGGAAUCUUAGACAAUGGGGGCAACCCUGAUCUAGCCAUGCCGCGUGUGUGAUGAAGGCCCUAGGGUCGUAAAGCACUUUCGCCAGAGAUGAUAAUGACAGUAUCUGGUAAAGAAACCCCGGCUAACUCCGUGCCAGCAGCCGCGGUAAUACGGAGGGGGUUAGCGUUGUUCGGAAUUACUGGGCGUAAAGCGCACGUAGGCGGAUUAGUAAGUUAGAGGUGAAAUCCCAGGGCUCAACCCUGGAACUGCCUUUAAUACUGCUAGUCUUGAGUUCGAGAGAGGUAAGUGGAAUUCCGAGUGUAGAGGUGAAAUUCGUAGAUAUUCGGAGGAACACCAGUGGCGAAGGCGGCUUACUGGCUCGAUACUGACGCUGAGGUGCGAAAGUGUGGGGAGCAAACAGGAUUAGAUACCCCCGUAGUC
rnacentral:rRNA from 1 species